AAAUUUCAUGGGUUUAACAACAACAUUUUCAUCAUUCACACAAUUCAAUCAAAUUUCAUGGGUUUAACGACAACAUCUUCAUCAUUCACACAAUUCAAUCAAACUUCAUAGGUUUAACAAUAACAUUUCAUCCUUCACACAAUUCAAUAAAAUUUCAUGGGUUUAACCUAAACAUUUUCAUCAUUCACAUAAUUCAAUCAAAUUUCAUGGGUUUGACAACAACAUUUUCGUCACUCACACAAUUCAAUCAAAUUUCACAGGGUUAACUACAACAUUUUCAUCAUUCGCACAAUUCAAUCAAAUUUCAUGGGUUUAACAUCAACAUUUUCAUUGUUCACACAAUUCAAUCAAUUUUCAUGGGUUUAACA
rnacentral:lncRNA from 1 species